GGGAGAUGAAGGCUGCCUUCUUACUGAACUUGAUUUGUUUCCAUUGGUUUCAUUGUUUGCAGAUGCAUCGGUUCCUCAUCUCAUGUGAGUGUGAUGCCAACCUGCAAGAUUGCCCAGCUAUGGGACAAGGAGCCUGUAUUUGGUCAGAUGAAGUUAAGGUGCUGUUUUCCCAGAUCCGUCUCGGUGGGAAGCAAGGAGCGUUACUGCUUGAGAAGUGGACUUGGGCUUCCCUCGGUGAACAAGGGGAGAUGCAGGUCAGUGUGAGGAGAGCUUUUAAUGUUGUGUGGAGGAGGGAAACGGACAU
rnacentral:lncRNA from 1 species